rnacentral:rRNA from 1 species
CAAAUCAUCACGGCCCUUACAUCUAGGGCUACACACGUGCUACAAUGGUCGGUACAAAGGGUUGCCAAGCCGCGAGGUGGAGCUAAUCCCAUAAAACCGAUCGUAGUCCGGAUCGCAGUCUGCAACUCGACUGCGUGAAGUCGGAAUCGCUAGUAAUCGUGAAUCAGAAUGUCGCGGUGAAUACGUUCCCGGGCCUUGUACACACCGCCCGUCACACCACGAGAGUUUGUAACACCCGAAGUCGGUGAGGUAACCGUAAG